rnacentral:rRNA from 1 species
UACGAGGGGGGCAAGUGUUGUUCGGAAUUACUGGGCGUAAAGGGAGCGUAGGCGGGCUUUUAAGUUAGGUGUUUAAAACCGGGGCCCAACCUCGGAUCGGCACUUAAAACUGGGAGUCUUGAAUAGUGGAGAGGUCGGUGGAAUUGGGGGUGUAGCGGUGGAAUGCGUAGAGAUCCCCAAGAACACCAGUUGCGAAGGCGGCCGACUGGACACAUAUUGACGCUGAGGCUCGAAAGCAUGGGGAGCAAACAGG